rnacentral:SRP_RNA from 1 species
GCUGGGCAUAGUGGCACAUGCCUGUAGUCCCAGCUACUCAGGAGGCUGAGGCAGGAGAAUUACUCGAGUCCAAGAAUUCUGGGCUGCAUAGCUCCAUGAUUGGGUGUCCACUCCAAUAUUGGCAUCAAUAUGGUGACCUCUUGGGAGCAAGGGACCACUAGGUUCCCUAAGGAUGGGUAAGCUGGCCCAGGUAGGAAACGGGAGGAUUACAUGUGACACAAGAAGCAGGAUGAGAUGACACCUAUCUAUAAACCCAGCACUCAGGAGACUGGGGCAGGAGAGUCUCAAGUUCA